CCUACGGGAGGCAGCAGUGGGGAAUUUUGGACAAUGGGCGAAAGCCUGAUCCAGCAAUGCCGCGUGAGUGAUGAAGGCCUUCGGGUUGUAAACUGCUUUUGUACGGAAAGAAACGGUCACAUCUAAUACCGUUGGCUAAUGACGGUACCUGAAGAAUAAGCACCGGCUAACUACGUGCCAGCAGCCGCGGUAAU
rnacentral:rRNA from 1 species